GGGGGUGCGCCCUGUGACGGAUUUUAGGCUUGAAAAGUCGGGGGCGGGGGAAUGUAACCAGGACUCUCCCAUCCAAGGCAUGCAGACUGGGGAAUGUUUCGGUGUACAAGAGAUGAAAUAGGGAUGGAGUGCCCCCCACGUUCUUUCUGCAAGUGCCUAUUUGUGAGUGUGUGUAUCUGGGAUUUUCAGUGCUUUACCGGGGCUCUUGUGCAGAGUGCACGGUGAAGGCUGCGAGGAGAGAUCUCAUCCGCUGUCCACUGGGGAAUGGCCUUGCCCUAUGGCCCCUACCAAACAAAAACGUAGCAGAACACAGCAAAACAGCAGAGUCGGAAUGUGAAGUGCUGAUAGAGUUCCCUAACGCUGACUGUCUGCUCUGCAUUUCUGGAGAUUGUAUGCCUGUCAUCCUGCAUUCCUUGCUACAGCCACAAGCUGUCUCCACCAUCAGAUGUGGCUUACCUGGUUCCUGAGUCAAUUCCAUCCAGAUGGUGAAGCCAAGGCCUGAAGACCUUUCCUGCAAGGUCGCAGAGGAAGAGGCAGAAGAAGGACCAGAACCCAGCUCCCCUGACUCCCUAUCCAGUGCUCUUCUCAUAGAUUACAUUGCUUCAGCAUCCACCUGGCUAUUGCUCCAUCCAGGGGUUACAGGAGUCACUGACUGUUUUGGUUGCUUCUUGGUUGGAGGAUGUUGUGCCUCACCGAUGAGAGCCGGAAGCAAAGGUACCAGUUCUUAGAGGAAGCAUAGGAAUGUGUCCCUUCCUGCUCGGGUCUCUCAACUGAACUCAACCCUUCCUUGAUUGAUUGACAAGCAUGUUAUCUCUCAUAAUCCCUGCCCGGUAAGGGCUGAUGUCCCCAUUUUACAGAUGAGGAUAUUGGAGCUCAGAGAAGUGAAAUGAUUGCUGAAGGUCACACAGCCUGGCUUCAAGCCUCUCGGGCUCCAAAAGGCAUCUUCUGUUCUCUCCGUCAGGAAGCCUCUUUUGGAUGAUUAACUGAGAUUAAAAAUGAAAAGACACAUGAAA
rnacentral:lncRNA from 1 species